rnacentral:rRNA from 1 species
GAUGAACGCUGGCGGCGUGCUUAACACAUGCAAGUCGAGCGAGUGAGUUCUUCGGAACGAUCUAGCGGCGGACGGGUGAGUAACACGUGGGCAACCUGCCUCAUAGAGGGGAAUAGCCCCCCGAAAGGGAGAUUAAUACCGCAUAAAAUUAUCGAGUGGCAUCACACGAUAAUCAAAGGAGUAAUCCGCUAUGAGAUGGGCCCGCGGCGCAUUAGCUAGUUGGUGAGGUAACGGCUCGCCAAGGCGACGAUGCGUAGCCGACCCGAGAGGGUGAUCGGCCACAUUGGGACUGGGACACGGCCCAGACUCCUACGGGAGGCAGCAGUGGGGAAUAUUGCACAAUGGGGGAAACCCUGAUGCAGCAACGCCGCGUGAGUGAUGAAGGUCUUCGGAUUGUAAAGCUCUGUCUUUGGGGACGAUAAUGACGGUACCCAAGGAGGAAGCCACGGCUAACUACGUGCCAGCCGCCGCAGUAA